UAUCAGAAAAUAACUGUUCAAUCUGUAUUCAAAUAUCAUAUUUUAUUUAACUUUAUAAGCAUUUAUGAUGGAUAAUUAAUAAAAAUAAAUAAAUAUAUUAAUAUGUUAUAAAUUUGAUAUAUUUAUUUUAUAAAAAUUUUAAUUUUAUAAUCAUAAAAUUUAAUUAUCUAAUUUAUAUUUAUAUUUCUAUCAAUUUAAAUUUUUAUAUUUUUAAAAUACUUAUUGUUGUCACAAG
rnacentral:lncRNA from 1 species